CUUCCUUCCAGCCAGAAAGGGCAGCCCAGAGUCCAGCUUGUAGUGUUUAACAGCACACACGGUGACAACAUGACCGCUCCUUGUCCAGGUUGAGCUGACUAGACUGCCUUUUGGAGUUUGGGGAACGGGAGUUUCCUUUGGCGAUAACAGAGAGUCCUCCACCUGCGCCAUCCACAGGGUCUCAUGAUCCCAGUGACCCAGGACAUGUUGAAGGACAAACAGACAAACUAAGGGCCUGGGGAGAAGCACUGGAGCAUCAAGAUGAACUAGAGAACAUAUAACGUCAUGAAGUCACAUGGUGAUACACAGAUUAUUAGAAAUAGGUUAAUUAAAUGUAAGAGCUAGCCAGCAAUAAGC